UUAAAUGAGAAACUAAUUUCACACUGAUCACAUGUGAAUGGCUUCUCUCCAAUGUGAACUCUCAUGUGAAUCUUUAGGCUUGCUAUAGCCCUGAAACUCUUUCUACACUGUUCACAGGUGAAAGGUUUCUCAUCAUUGUGAAUCCUCAUGUGAUUCUUUAGGUAUACGUUAUGUGAGAAAUUCUUUCCACACAGUUUGCAG